CGUUUUUGUCGAGCCUGCAACUUUUGUUGCAGAAAGCUCGACAUAGGGAUAGUGAUCCGGCGGCGGCGGCGGCUACGGCGGCGGCGUUAGCUCACUUCUUAAAAGCUUUAUAUUUUAGAAGGUGGAAGACCUGGAUGCUUCAUACUUUGUAUAUAGAUGCUUCAUGUUACGAAGUUUCCGUCAGUCACAUGUCCAAUGUCCUUGACCUCAUUUUCAUGGUUCAGUGACCACUUGAAAAAAAAGUUCAAUUUUUUUGUAAUGUUGAAUUCUCUCUUAUUAUAAGUAAUAGGAUAACUAUAUUUGAUAUGUGCGUACCUUGCAAGGUCCUCGUGUCUGUCAGACAGUUUCACUUGACCUCGACCUCAUUUCAUGGAUCAGUGAACAAGGUUAAGUUUUGGUGGUCAAGUCCAUAUCUCAGAUACUAUAAGCAAUAGGGCUAGUAUAUUCGGUGUAUGGAAGGACUGUAAGGUGUACAUGUCCAACUGGCAGGUGUCAUCUGACCUUGACCUCAUUUUCAUGGUUCAGUGGUUAUAGUUAAAUUUUUGUGUUUUUGUCUGUCUUUCUCAUACCAUAUGCAAUAGGUCUACUAUAUUUGUUGUAUGGAAUGAUUGUUAAGUGUACAUGUCUAGCGGGCAGAUGUCAUGUGACCUUGACCUCAUUUUCAUGGUUCAGUGGUCAAAGUUAAGUUUUUGAGUUUUGUUCUUUUUAUCUAAUGCUAUAUGCCAUAGGUCAACUAUAUUUGGUGUAUGGAAAUAUUUUAUGAUCUUUAUGUCAGUCGAGCAGGUUUUAUUUAACC
rnacentral:lncRNA from 1 species